CAUCGACGCCUGAUCACGUCGUAGUCUGAAUGAGGCUCGUCCCCCGCCGCUUCAGACUUGGACAAAGGCCUUAUCCCCCUCUCCGGGCCUUUGUCCCUAUAUUCUGAAGCCGUCGUGGCAAUCCCCCCGCCCGCCACGACGGCUUCAU
rnacentral:sRNA from 1 species